rnacentral:lncRNA from 1 species
GUUAUUAAAACAAUGACAGAAAAAGUAAUAUUCCAUGGUAAUGUAAGGGUAAAUUCUAAGUCUACUCUUCUUUCAAUAGAGAAGAUUAUAGAGCUUAUCAACUUUAAUAAGAAACCAGUAAAAAAUAUCAUUUUCAUUGACAGGGAUGUGAUCGAAGACCGAGCGUUGAGUGAGGCGGCCAAAGACACGAGGACCACCAGACGCACGUAGUUGCCGAGAACAGACAGACUGAAAUUGGUGCUGCAACAACCGAGACCACAUAAUAGGGACCGCGUAGUGAAGAACCGAAGGUGAGGAAGCCUUGCAAGCGGCCACUGAAGCAGCAUUGACGACCACCUUUUAAACCGUUGACAAUACCUAUACGAGUCGGCCAAUGACCUCGAGCACCAAUCCGCCUGCGUGCUCCAUAUCACAAACUCGCCGCCAUGGUAAUGAGACCCACCAGCACACACCUCGACUAAGGAGAGAAGCAAUCCAAAUCGGCGAACCGACGAGAACCACCCACCUGAGCCAAAAGACCCCCUAGACCAGAAGCGGCGAACCACCACAUAUCCGAAGAAGACCCACCCUUCCUCCGCCUCACGGACCGAGAACGCGUGCGAGAUCGGAGGAGAAAAUCGAUCUCACAGAAAACCCCCAAAAACCGACUGCAACCCCCACCUGCCUCUCGGCCUCCUCGCCCGACCCGGGGAGAGCUGAUUGACUGCCGAAAUGAUGCCCCUCUGCAGCGGAGCAGAUUUCUGACCUCAAACUCUAACCCAGAACGAUGAGCAUAUCGGAGGAGAGUAGAACAGGCGGACCGGCAACAAGACAAGAAAGAGAAACCUGAAUGGAGGGACCUCCGGUCGCCGGUACGCGCCACCACGCGCCGUCCGGGCCGGAGGAAGCAGAGCCUUAAAAAUCGCCUUUUGUUG